rnacentral:rRNA from 1 species
ACAGUCACACAUUAGAUACCCGCGUAGUCCCAGCCCUAAACGAUGCGCGUUAGGUGUAUCGGUGACCACGAGUCACCGAGGUGCCGAAGGGAAACCGUGAAACGUGCCGCCUGGGAAGUACGGUCGCAAGGCUAAAACUUAAAGGAAUUGGCGGGGGAGCACCACAACGGGUGGAGCCUGCGGUUUAAUUGGACUCAACGCCGGGAAGCUCACCGGAUAAGACAGCGGAAUGAUUGCCGGGCUGAAGACCCUGCAUGACCAGCUG